UACGAAGGGUGCAAGCGUUACUCGGAAUUACUGGGCGUAAAGGGUGCGUAGGCGGUUGUUUAAGUUUGGUGUGAAAUCUCCCGGCUCAACUGGGAGGGUGCGCCGAAUACUGAAUGACUAGAGUGCGGGAGAGGAGAGUGGAAUUCCUGGUGUAGCGGUGAAAUGCGUAGAUAUCAGGAGGAACACCGGUGGUGUAGACGGCUCUCUGGACCGUAACUGACGCUGAGGCACGAAAGCGUGGGUAGCAAACAGG
rnacentral:rRNA from 1 species